AAGUCGAACGCGCAGCAAUGCGAGUGGCGGACGGGUGCGGAACACGUAAGGAACAUACCUAUGGGUGGGGAAUAACUGCGGGAAAUUGCAGCUAAUACCGCAUAAUGCAGCGGGCCCGCAUGGGCAUAGUUGUUAAAGCAGCAAUGCGCCUAUAGAUUGCCUUGCGUCUGAUUAGCUAGUUGGCGGGGUAACGGCCCACCAAGGCGACGAUCAGUAACUGGUCUUAGAGGAUGAUCAGUCACACUGGCACUGAGACACGGGCCAGACUCCUACGGGAGGCAGCAGUAGGGAAUAUUGGGCAAUGGGCGAAAGCCUGACCCAGCCAUGCCGCGUGAGGGAAGAAGGUCCACCGGAUUGUAAACCUCUUUUAUACCGGAAUAAGGCUCUUGUAACUCAAGAGUUUGAAGGUACGGUAGGAAUAAGCACCGGCAAACUACGUGCCAGCAGCCGCGGUAAUACGUAGGGUGCAAGCGUUGUCCGGAUUUACUGGGUUUAAAGGGUGCGUAGGCGGGCGUGAAAGUCGGUGAUGAAAUGUCAGGGCUUAACCUUGGCGCUGUUACCGAUACUCCGCGCCUUGAGAGCGGGCUAAGGCAGCUGGAAUGAGUGGUGUAGCGGUGAAAUGCGUAGAG
rnacentral:rRNA from 1 species